rnacentral:rRNA from 1 species
AUUGAACGCUGGCGGCAGGCCUAACACAUGCAAGUCGAACGAGUGGCGGACGGGUGAGUAAUGUCUGGGAAACUGCCCGAUGGAGGGGGAUAACUACUGGAAACGGUAGCUAAUACCGCAUACCAUCGGAUGUGCCCAGAGGGGAUUAGCUUGUAGGUGGGGUAACGGCCCACCUAGGCGACGAUCCCUAGCUGGUCUGAGAGGAUGAUCAGCCACACUGGAACUGAGCCACGGCCCAGACUCCUACGGGAGGCAGCAGUGGGGAAUAUUGGACAAUGGGCGCAAGCCUGACGCAGCCAUGCCGCGUGUGUGAAGAAGGCCUUCGGGUUGUAAAGUACUGUCAGCGGGGAGGCGGUAGCCGAAGAAGAAGCACCGGCUAACUCCGUGCCAGCAGCCGCGGUAAUAC